GACGAACGCUGGCGGCGUGCUUAACACAUGCAAGUCGAACGGAAAGGCCCUGCUUUUGUGGGGUGCUCGAGUGGCGAACGGGUGAGUAACACGUGAGUAACCUGCCCUUGACUUUGGGAUAACUUCAGGAAACUGGGGCUAAUACCGGAUAGGAGCUCCUGCUGCAUGGUGGGGGUUGGAAAGUUUCGGCGGUUGGGGAUGGACUCGCGGCUUAUCAGCUUGUUGGUGGGGUAGUGGCUUACCAAGGCUUUGACGGGUAGCCGGCCUGAGAGGGUGACCGGCCACAUUGGGACUGAGAUACGGCCCAGACUCCUACGGGAGGCAGCAGUGGGGAAUAUAGCACAAUGGGCGGAAGCCUGAUGCAGCAACGCCGCGUGCGGGAUGACGGCCUUCGGGUUGUAAUCCGCUUUCGCCUGUGACGAAGCGUGAGUGACGGUAAUGGGUAAAGAAGCACCGGCUAACUACGUG
rnacentral:rRNA from 1 species